rnacentral:rRNA from 1 species
GACGAACGCUGGCGGCGUGCCUAAUACAUGCAAGUCGAGCGAAGUUUUUCUGGUGCUUGCACUAGAAAAACUUAGCGGCGAACGGGUGAGUAACACGUAAAGAACCUGCCUCAUAGACUGGGACAACUAUUGGAAACGAUAGCUAAUACCGGAUAACAAUAUUUCUCGCAUGAGAGAUAUUUAAAAGUUGGUUAUGCUAACACUAUGAGAUGGCUUUGCGGUGCAUUAGCUAGUUGGUGGGGUAAAGGCCCACCAAGGCGACGAUGCAUAGCCGACCUGAGAGGGUGAUCGGCCACACUGGGACUGAGACACGGCCCAGACUCCUACGGGAGGCAGCAGUAGGGAAUCUUCCGCAAUGGGCGAAAGCCUGACGGAGCAACGCCGCGUGAGUGAAGAAGGAUUUCGGUUCGUAAAGCUCUGUUGUUAGGGAAGAAUGGAUAUGUAGUAACUAUACAUGUAAGAGACGGUACCUAACCAGAAAGCCACGGCUAACUACGUG